GCGUGGUACAUCAUAGAUAUUCAAUGAAGUUUUUUGGAUAAAGUAAUGAAAGAGUAAGUGGUACAAUUUGGAUCCCAGAGUCCCAAGGGUUAUUUCCCAUCUUGGUGAUCUUAGGAGAUGGUGUGGGGACCUUUAAGAGGUGGGGCCUAGUGGGAGAUCUCAGGUAACUGGACAGGGUGGCCUCAAGGGGCAUGGUAGGAAUCCAAUCCCGUCCCAUUGCUGUCUUUGGUGUCCUGGCCAUGAAGUGAAUGGUUUAGUCAUGUGCUCCCACUCUGAUGUGCUGCCUUGCCACAGGCCCAACUGACCACAGACAGCCCUCCAAAACUACCAGCGAUGUUAGCCCACCAGAGCAUGAAUCACGGAUCUAGAGAAACGCAACAUCGCCAUCAGCCCAGGUUCAAGGCGCAGAGCCACGCGCCCCGGUGGGAAGGGCUGCACUGUCGCACUUACACAGAUGACCCGCAGAGAUUCCCAGUUUCAAGACGCAACAAAAGGCCUCCAGGAAGUGAAGCCGGCAGCUCACUGCUAUGUGUUUAAACUGUAAUUUUCCACUGCCAAAACAAAGAGCAUCCAAAGAGUCCGGUGGAUUUGGGAGAAAAGCCUCCUUCUCCCGGAAGUCGGCCAGAGCCGAGGUCCCGGAGCUGCGCCGCCCCCCGGUUUCGCGGGGAGGCUGGGCAUGCACGACAGCCAAGGACGCCCGGGCUGUGGGGCCAGAGAAGUACCAGCAUGGCCUCUCAAGACCCAGAUGUAGAAGUUCUCACAGGUUUCCUUGAGAUUUGGACAACAAAAAAGGAGAGGGAAAGCGAGACAAAUUGGGAUAUUGCAAGACUGGUUACUGCCAGAGUUGAUCCAAGAAGUGCACAAGAGGAGACCUCCGGGCUGGCGUACCACCCCACCAACACACAGGAGGUGAGCCGCACGGGUGCCAGCAGCAACCCCCCCCCCAAUCGAAAUGAGAAGACACGUAAACAAGUCUCAAAACCAGCCUUGCAGAUCACCUACAGCAACUCCAAAGGGAAACGAGAUGGAACACUCUGAUACUCAACCACCUGGACUCCCUGAACUAGCAACAAAAGAGGAUCUGGAAAGAAUGAAAUCAGAAAUAACUUCUCAGAUAACAGCAGAGAUUGUGCUCAUAGUGCAAAACAUGAUUAAUAAAUCUAGAGAGGAGCUCAGGAACAUGAUGGAAUCCCAACAUAGGAAACAAAUGGAAUCCAUAAAACAGAUGCAAACAGAUUUCCA
rnacentral:lncRNA from 1 species